GAAAUGCGAUAAGUAAUGUGAAUUGCAGAAUUCAGUGAAUCAUCGAAUCUUUGAACGCACCUUGCGCCCUUUGGUAUUCCGAAGGGCAUGCCUGUUUGAGUGUCAUUAAAUUAUCAACCUUGAAGGCUUGUUCUUCUUGGCUUGGAUGUGAGGGUUUGCUGGCUUCCUUCAGUGGAUUGGUCUGCUCCCUUCAAAUGCAUUAGUGGGAUGUCUCUUGUGGACCGUCACUUGGUGUGAUAAUUAUCUACGCCAGCUUGACUUGCAAUGAGGAACCUGCUCAGAACCGUCUUCGGACAAUUUCUUUAAUAUUUGACCUCAAAUCAGGUAGGACUACCCGCUGAACUUAA
rnacentral:rRNA from 1 species